UCCGAAUUGGUGUAACGGUUAACAUUUGACGUUUUCAUUCUUCCCAAUGAUCUGGUACGAAAUGCCGGAACAUAAUAUGGACAUGGAAAAUACCGUCAGGCUCGGGGUUCGAUUCCCCGAUUCGGAG